UGAAGGAUCACGCACGGAAGUGCAUAAUUGCCUUUUGUUUCACGUAAAUAGUCAGCCUUAAGAAACGAGGUAAGUAAAGAAUGUAUUGUGCUGUGUUUGUAUUUAAACUACCUAUAAGAGCACUAUAACCACAAAAAUUCGCUGGCUCCACUGAACUGCUGGUGAUGCUAUGCUAGUCAACUAGCCGACUGUACUUGUCGCAGCCUACAGUUUGUUUAUAUGCAAGUUUAGCCUCCUCAUACUGUCGCCACACGUGUGUGCACAAUUCAAAGUCAGCUCUAAAUCGUUUUAAUACUUCGUUCAUGUUCAGGAGCAAUGCCGUCAUGUAAACCCAUUUGAACGGUUUGAAUGUUAAAAACAAGUGAACCAAGCUUUCUUCCAGAAUGACUCCUUGCUCUGACUGUUUGGAGCCUGUUACCAUGACAACUGACUCGACACUCCUCAACUCCGAGAUGGAGAUAGAGCAGCAAGAAGAUCUGUAUCAGCAGCUCUUAGCACAGUCACUAGGAAAUAUGCAGACUGCAAAUCCAGAUUCCAAAGUGAUUCGGCCGCAACCAGGAAUUUGUGUGAAGACGACAUCGGAGGCCGGCAAGAAGAAGAUCUUCGUCAACAUCUGCCAGUCCAACUUGGUUCCACCUCCACCAGAGAUCUCUAAAGAGAAACUUUUAGAUCUGCUCCAAUUAGAAGAUCCCAGUGGCUACAGAGUCCCCAUGAGCCUCGGCGAGCCACACACUGAAUUGGACAACAACUCUCAGGGUUGCACUGCAUAUGACGUGGUCAUCAAUCAAGAGUUUUUCCAGAAAUGUCAGAAGGACUCCCUGUUCCAGCAGUUUGUCAUUAUGGUGUCUUUGGAAGGUUUAGAGAACAAGUACAACAUCGAGCUUAGUCGAGAAUGGAAAGUGUUGAAAAACAGGAAAUUCUUGGGCUCUGUCAGCGAGCAGAACAUUCGCACUAAAAGCAAGCCAGUAAUUCAAGAGCUGCAACCUCAGGAAAACUCUACUUCAGAGGCAAAAAGGUAUUAUCUGUUCACCUUUGUUGGUUCUAAUGUUAUGUAUCUCAGACCAGAAUUCACCUUGUUUGUAGAGCCUCCUUCUGGUGUCCCUGAGUAUCUCAUUGCAGAAAUCAACUUGCCUGGUGUGCUUUCAUCCCGCGCGUUGGUCCUGGACAUCGGUGAGGACCGCCUCGUCUUGACAGCACGGCCCUCGCUCUACUUUCUGGACAUUUUCCAUCCCUUCCUUGUCGAUCAGGAGACGAGUGUAGCGCAAUUCAACAGCAGCACUCAGAUCCUUACAAUCACCUUACCUGUGGUGUCAUCUUGAAACACCAGACGUAACUUCCAAUUAUUUAUUAAGAUGCUGUGAAAAUCAUGACUCCCCUGCACAUAGAUCCACUCAUUUUCUCGACCUUUGAUUAAUACACGAAUGUCAAUCUAAUACAGCAUAUCAUAUUGAAAUAUUUUAGUCCAACUGUGUUAUUUAUUACUGUAUAGUGAAACAUACUAUCCAAUAUAAGUAUUACUAAUUAUAGUUUCAUAUAGUAACCUCUUAAUUGGAUAUAAUUAGUGAACUUCAGCCCAAUUUUGAGUAAUAAUAUUCAUUUGAGUAUAGCCUAGUGACUUUUUGUUAGUGCUUUUUUGGAACCCCACACCCCUCUCAAUGGAAAAAGUCAACGGGUCCCUAUUUUUGGAUUUGGCUCUUUAUGACCCUCCUCCCUCAUUCCUCCUUUCUCUGUACUCUUGCAGAGCAUCCAUUCUCAUGCUCUUGCACUGCUUUCAGAGACAAUUGUGUACUAGAGUUUCAAACUAGGGCUAGGAUUCCAAACUAGGGUUAGGGUUUUAAAGUGGCCACAGUAGUUGUCAUCAUCCAAGAAGGUCAAAUGCCUGUAAUAUUUUAGAUCAAAUUUAAGGAUUAAAUAAAUAAAAAAGUGAAUCAGGAAGAAGCUAACACAACUGGACGAAGUAACCCAAAUCCACCACUCCACAAUUAUUUCAGCAGCUUCGUACCGAGCGGCAUUUGAGUUGUAAAUGUCCCGUCGCAUCAAUAUAACUAGUCUAAUGGAGGCUUUUGCUCAACACUAAAUUAUACGUAUAAA